UACAGAGGGUGCGAGCGUUAAUCGGAAUUAUUGGGCGUAAAGGGCUUGUAGGCGGUUCUAUAAGUUAGGUGUGAAAACCCUGGGCUCAACCUGGGGCUUGCACUUAAUACUGUGGAGCUAGAGUAUGGGAGAGGAGAAGGGAAUUCCUGGUGUAGCGGUGAAAUGCGUAGAUAUCAGGAGGAACAUCAGUGGCGAAGGCGCUUCUCUGGCCUAAUACUGACGCUGAGGAGCGAAGGCGUGGGGAUCAAACAGG
rnacentral:misc_RNA from 1 species